rnacentral:ncRNA from 2 species
GUUGCACCCUCGGGGAGCCUGCCAUGGCUGAGAGGUGGGGCUGGCAUCCCACGACCCGUCGAACCUGAACCCGUUAAUACGGGCGGAGGGAAGGGCGGCGGCACAGGC